AAGGCGCAAUGAAAGUGAAUGCCGGUUCCCUCAGAAUCUGGCCUGUGUUGGGACUCUCCGUCUUUGGGCGCGAGAAGCACCAACGACCCGUCCUAUCCGAUUUAUCGGUUGGGCGGAGUCUGAGCGCACACGUUGGGACCCGAAAGAUGGUGAACUAUGCCUGGGCAGGACGAAGCCAGAGGAAACUCUGGUGGAGGUCCGUAGCGGUUCUGACGUGCAAAUCGAUCGUCAGACCUUGGUAUAGGGGCGAAAGACUAAUCGAACCAUCUAGUAGCUGGUUCCCUCCGAAGUUUCCCUCAGGAUAGCUGGCGCUCGGAGAAUUCAGUCUCAUCCGGUCAAGCGAAUGAUUAGAGGCCUUGGGGCCGAAACGACCUCAACCUAUUCUCAAACUUUAAAUGGGUGAGAAGUCCGGCUUGCGUAGUGGAAGCCCGGACGUGUUGGAUGAGAGUGCCCAGUGGGCCACUUUUG
rnacentral:rRNA from 1 species